AUAUAAAAGUAGAAGAAAAGUUGAGCUGUAAGCAAACGUACUGAGAAGCUUAUUUGGAAUUGAUCUUGAACUAUUUUCAAUUCUGUGAAAUAUUGUAGUUCCUAAAAAAAAGCUAAAUUACUCAGAAUUUUGAAGGAGUAUAACCGUCGUCAUGGACAUUAAAGUAGAAUUGAUCAAAGAAGCGGAGUUUGGAAAGCAUGUGUUACUGAUAUUAUUGCUUAUUGUAACGAUAUUUGUGAUUCAUUUAACGGUUUAUUUUUUUACCGCUAGGUUCCACAACAAUGCAAACGCUAUACUAUUAUAUGAGCACGGAAUCGUCGAACACUUUCGAGUACCAAUCAAUAAUAAUACGUUCAUGAUGCUGCUGCAAAAUCUUCGUGUUGGGCAACGACUUUUCAUCCGAAACAGGCGUGAAAAUCAGCAUAUGGGAUAAUACGAAGACCAAUAUCUUACCAAAUAACCACAAUUUUCGAAUAAACAACUUCUCAAGUAAUAUGAAUAAGCAAGUGCGUUGCAGUGCUCUAUACUUGCUCUAUACGUUGUCUAUUAAAGGGAAGAAACCUUUAUAUAAAAAAAACUGUUAACAUUUUCUAUCGAUAACU